CAAUAGCGUAUAUUAAAGUUGUUGCAGUUAAAAAGCUCGUAGUUGGAUUUCGGGGCGGCCUGGCUGGUCCGUCGCGAGGCGAGCACUGGUCAGCCGCCCUUCCUCUCGAAAGCCCCGACUGCUCUUCACUGCAGUGGUCGGGUAGUUCGGGACGUUUACUUUGAAAAAAUUAGAGUGUUCAAGGCAGGCUCUCGCCUGAAUACAUUAGCAUGGAAUAAUGGAAGAGGACCUCGGUCCUAUUUUGUUGGUUUCUGGGACCGAAGUAAUGAUUAAGAGGGACAGUUGGGGGCAUUCGUAUUUAAUUGUCAGAGGUGAAAUUCUCGGAUUUAUGAAAGACGAACAACUGCGAAAGCAUUUGCCAAGGAUGUUUUCAUUAA
rnacentral:rRNA from 1 species